rnacentral:tRNA from 1 species
GGGGCUAUAGCUCAGCUGGGAGAGCGCCUGCUUUGCACGCAGGAGGUCAGCGGUUCGAUCCCGCUUAACUCCA